UACGUAGGGUGCAAGCGUUGUCCGGAAUUAUUGGGCGUAAAGAGCUCGUAGGCGGUUUGUUGCGUCGGCUGUGAAAUCCCGAGGCUCAACCUCGGGUCUGCAGUCGAUACGAGCAAACUAGAGUGUUGCAGGGGAGACUGGAAUUCCCGGUGUAGCGGUGAAAUGCGCAGAUAUCGGGAGGAACACCCGUAGCGAAGGCGGCACUCUGGGCCGUGACUGACGCUGAGGAGCGAAAGCGUGGGGAGCAAACAGG
rnacentral:rRNA from 1 species